rnacentral:rRNA from 1 species
CUCAAAUAAUGUGUGAGU